UAUUUGCAUUAUUGGAAAUGAUCCUCUCUGUCAAUUAAUUGAGAGCUAAUUUGUAAUAAAUUUGGUGCCGUGACUCGGAUGAGGGCAAUUUGACUGAAGAAGCUCUUCGGAGGGGACGCCCCGCCGAUUUUGGCGGCCUCUGUUGAGAAUAUUCUCACUCAAAACCUUCACUGACGAACCCUAAAAUUAGCAACAAGCAAAUAAAGCCGGCAACCCCAAGUAAUCUUUGUGCACGAAGACCGAACGAAGACUCAGGAUUGAAAACAGCAAUCCGAACCGUGGAAAAGGGGUGGACUCAUGCCAGCAGAGUGAAAGGACCCAUCUCCGAAGGAGAGUGGAAGGUGACUCCAGGUCCCGACGACUUGAAGCUAACACUGAAACGAACCCGAUAAGUAUUGUAUUGUGGGAGGAGGUAGAAGCCUUAUUUAAGUGGGUAUAGGCCAGUCUAAAUGAUGUCCGCGUAAGCUCCCUUGAAGAAUACUGCUGCUGCCGAGAAGAAAUCAGACCUUGUAGUUUGCUGCAACCGAACUGACAAGCGAGGCAGAGAGUAGAACGGUGGGGAAGCAAAAAGGGAUUGAAGAAGGCCUGUUCAAAAUACCCUGAAGGAUGGGCUUUGAACACCUCCUACAAUAUGUGGGAAUCAUCAUUACGACCUUGGUGAGUUAUGGACAUAUGCAGCCUCACCAGCCCUUUAAGUGGAGUCUGAUCCAAUGGGAAAGUCAGAAGGUCAUACAAUAAGUAACCACCACCGGUGCCCCAAGUUUCCGCACCUUUCUUUGCAACCUGGCACCUAUAAGUCCGUGUCUGAACCUAAAAGGCUACUAUUUCUGCCCUGCCUCCAACCCAGGGAGGGGAUAUUGCAACUACCCCAGCUCCUAUUAUUGUGCUUAUUGGGGUUGUGAAACGAUUGCUUCAGAUUGGGAGCCAGGAGCUGGGGGAGACCGGUUUUUGAAGGUAGGGUACAGAGUCCACGAGUGUACGCCACCGGAUCGGGACUCGGUUGGAGGGAUUGGAGGGGGGACUGGCGAGAAACCCCUAUGUAAUGAACUGUAUGUUAAUGUGACGAAUCCAAAUGACCCUGCUUGGGCCCUAGGGAAAAUGUGGGGUGUAAGGUAUUGGGAACCUGGACCCGAUAGGGGAGGUCUUAUAGUUAUAAAAAGGGAGGACGCUGAUAAAGCUCAGGUGGUAGGACCUACCAAGGUAUUACUGGGGAAUGUUCAAAAACCCCUCCCUACAAAGGAUGUUACAGUGUCAGCCCUUGGUAGUCCCACAAGCUCGAGUGAGGCUGAUAAUAAUGAUGUAUCCGGAAAUAAUCUAUGGGGAGUCAUGAAUGCCAGUUCAAUCCAAACAUGACGGAGCAUUGCUAGUUGUGUUUUAGCAUAAGGCCUCCGUAUUAUGAUGCCAUCGGGGAUCUUGGGGAGCCCACUCAUACAAACGAGAGCAACCCUUCACAAUGUGACUGGGGAAAAGGUAUAGGAAUAACAUUAACACAAGUGACUGGGCGAGGCAGAUGCAUAGGCAUGGUUCCCAGAGAAAAAAUGUUAUUUAUGUAAUAUUACGGAGAAAGAAAGGCAAUCAGCUGAAUGGUUAAUCCCAGCCAAUAAUACUAGGUGGGUUUGUUCGUCAGUGGGAGUGACCCCGUCUGUCACUAAAGCUUUUCAAUGCAUCUCGUGAUUUCUGUGUACAGGUAGUAAUUAUUCCAAGGAUUCUAUACCAUUCUGAAGAUUAUAUGUAUACUCAACGUACGGUGGCAGGUUACCACUUAGAAAAGAGGGAACCAUUUACAGCCUUAACUCUGGCUACCCUAAUAAUCUUGGGGGGAGCAGGAGUUGGGACAGAAGUCGCCUCAUUAAUUAAACAAGAUCAGGGUUUCACCUCCUUACGUAUGGCUGUAGAUGAGGAUCUUGCUUGAACUGAACAAUCCAUCUCUGCCUUGGAAAAAUCAGUGAGAUCGCUCUUGGAGGUAGUGUUACAAAAUUGCAGGGGGCUGGAUUUGGUAUUUUUACAGCAGGGAGGAUUGUGUGCUGCUCUGAAAGAGGGAUGCUGCAUGUAUGCUGAUCACACAGGAGUAGUAAGGGACACUAUGACUAAA